rnacentral:rRNA from 1 species
CACGGGGGGAGCAAGCGUUGUUCGGAAUCACUGGGCGUAAAGGGCGUGUAGGCGGUCAAGUAAGUGGAAUGUGAAAGCCCCCGGCUUACCCGGGGAUCUGCAUCCCAAACUGCUUGGCUUGAGUACGGGAGAGGAUGGAGGAAUUCCUGGUGUAGCGGUGAAAUGCGUAGAUAUCAGGAGGAACACCGGUGGCGAAGGCGUCCAUCUGGCCCGAUACUGACGCUGAGGAGCGAAAGCGUGGGGAGCAAACAGG